rnacentral:rRNA from 1 species
GUGCCAGCCGCCGCGGUAAUACGUAGGUGGCAAGCGUUGUCCGGAUUUACUGGGCGUAAAGCGCGUGUAGGCGGCCCGUUUAGUCUGUCGUGAAAUCUCCCGGCUUAACCGGGAUGGGUCGACGGAUACUGGCGAGCUUGAGGGGAGCAGAGGAAGGUGGAAUUCCCGGUGUAGUGGUGAAAUGCGUAGAUAUCGGGAGGAACACCAGUGGCGAAGGCGGCCUUCUGGGCUCUACCUGACGCUGAGACGCGAAAGCGUGGGGAGCGAACCGGAUUAGAUACCCGGGUAGUCC